rnacentral:rRNA from 1 species
GACGAACGCUGGCGGCGUGCCUAAUACAUGCAAGUAGAACGCUGAAGAGAGGAGCUUACUCUUCUUGGAUGAGUUGCGAACGGGUGAGUAACGCGUAGGCAACCUGCCUUGUAGCGGGGGAUAACUAUUGGAAACGAUAGCUAAUACCGCAUAACAAUGGAUGACACAUGUCAUUUAUUUGAAAGGGGCAAUUGCUCCACUACAAGAUGGACCUGCGUUGUAUUAGCUAGUAGGUGAGGUAAUGGCUCACCUAGGCGACGAUACAUAGCCGACCUGAGAGGGUGAUCGGCCACACUGGGACUGAGACACGGCCCAGACUCCUACGGGAGGCAGCAGUAGGGAAUCUUCGGCAAUGGGGGCAACCCUGACCGAGCAACGCCGCGUGAGUGAAGAAGGUUUUCGGAUCGUAAAGCUCUGUUGUAAGUCAAGAACGGGUGUGAGAGUGGAAAGUUCACACUGUGACGGUAGCUUACCAGAAAGGGACGGCUAACUACGUG